rnacentral:ncRNA from 16 species
ACAGAAUGGCAGGGCUACUGUAGAUUUCAGUUAGUAUAUUUCAAAGGAAGGGAGGUGAUCGGUAUUGACUGAGAUUCCUCCGCUAUCCCGUAACUGUGAGUGGGUUUUCCAUCAUUAACGGUCACUGGCCAGACUAAAAUCCGACUGGGAAGGCCGAUGGAAAUGUCCGGUGAGUAGCCGGAGCCCAUAAGCCAGGAGACUUUGAUAUAUGGUUGCGUUUUU